GUGUGUGUGUGUGUGUGUGUAUGUGUGUGUGUGUGUGUGUGUCAGCAUAGCAGGCUGAGAGUGAGAGAGCGAUGGGAAAAUGCAAACAACUGAACAUGCAUAUUGCUGAGCAGGCCGGCGGUCUGUCGGACAGCACCUUAAGGCCCAGGAGUGCCUGCUCCCCCAGACGGGCUGCACUUUGACAUUGAGCCCGCCAGAAGAUCAUGGAAACCCCUGCAAUAAAUGUUACUUUGUUCUUACCCUUUCCCCCCUCUCCCAUCAGCCCCCCUCCGCCUCCCAGUAGCAGGUUCUCUGUCCAAACCAGUGACCCCUUUCUGUCCAACAACUGCAGAGUAUUUCACCCUCUUUUGCGCUUUAUCACCUCACGACACAUGAGGUCAUAAGAUGUUGAAUCCUGCCGUCAUGACACAAGCAUCUCUCUGGAAAGACCGGAACAGGAUGUCAGGCAUUCGUCCCCAACGGAGCUCCAUUGAACAAGUGCUCCGAGCUGAACCCACCACCAGUCCCCCCUCCAUCCCCAAGGGCUUCUUCCUCCUCCUCCUCCUCCUCCUCCUCCUCCUCCUCCUCCCAGAGUGGUGUAUGAUGAGGGGGGACCCGUCCUCUUGGUGACCUUCAUCAGAGAGCAGUGUUGUUGACCAUUGACAAUGUGGCCAUUGUUCUCCUGCCACGCUCAAGAGGACUGCACCACAGCCCCCCUCCCCUGGCCUCUCCUGUCUGCAACCACUUCAGCACCCCCCCGCCCUCGCUGGCGUCUCUCCCCAGCAGGUCCUGGGUGCUGGACAGCCUUGUGAAGACACCUGUUCCAGAGGACAGCCAGUCUUCAGCCGACACCACAAGCAAGGUCAUGUUGGGGCCCUGGCCUGCCACAGGCUGGACACCAUGGGAGGAUAUUGACGGAGAUACACACACAUAUAUUUUUUUUUUAUUAUUAUUUACUUAAGAGUAUGUUGGAAUUGAUAUUUGGGGUGGGGUAGGUGAUGGCAAACAUUGAAAAGAUGAAAGUGAAGGUGCUUAGGGGGGUUAAACGACACGGCUGGCCCCCAUGACCUUGGUUGCGCUGCCCUGUCGUCUGCGUUGUCAUUUCCGUCUUGGGGUUUCCCUGUGCGGAGAAGACCUUCCACACUCCUGCAGGACCACCGGCUAGCCUGCACCCUGCCUGCCUGCCAGCCCACUGCCCACCUCCUCACACACACACACACACACUUUGGUUUUGUAAAGCAAAUGAAUGAAUUAAAUAAUAUAUUCAGAGACGUAUAUAGCAUUUAAGAAAAAGGCUAAACAAAUGUAUAGAAUCCUUUUGAAUCGUGGCUCACUAAAAUUAGUCACCAAAAAAGUUUCUUGUUUUCCUUGAUUUUCUUUUUUUUUCUGGUCUAAUUUUCCUCUGUUCAUUACAACCAAAUCUAUAUUGUCAAGCUGUAGAAUUUUUCUCCUUUUUAAAUAGUUCACACUUGACACGUGUGCUGCGUUAAGUGCUAUUAGUUUUUCCUUGGAAAUGCAACGAUUUCUCUUUUCAUUAAUUAUUGUUUUAUUUUUAGCAUGAAGGGCCAUGGUGCUGCAGGUCCUUCAACCUUUAUUUUUGUUUGGAGAGGGCCGAGGCCAACAGAUGGAAUAAUCGCAUCUGUAUUCCAUCUAGAACUGACCAUCAGGCACAGUUUGGUAUGGUCAUCUGAAUUCGGCCAUAGUGCAGGCACAACACAUGUAGACUGAAUAUUUAUGGAGAGUAUAUGAGAGAUAUACAGUCAUGAGUGAGUCCAAUACCAGACCCUUCUCAGCUCAAGGACAGUCUGCGAAAAUUCUAACAAUCCAAACCUACCUGUGGAAGUGACACACACACACACACACACACACAGGCGUAGCUCAUGAUAUGCUUUGAAAUGCUGGUGAGAAAAUAAACACCCCAAAAGUGGUAUGCAGCAAGUAAAGCCAGCAGCCUGCACCUUAAACAACCAAACCUUCCUUCCCCUCGGCCGUAGUCUUACGCAGGGCUCCAUUAGGACAUCCACAUACAAACACUACCUCUAUUUUGUACACACAAGUAUAGCCUCCUUCACAUGACAAAAAGUCCAAACAUCGAUUCACAUUUAGUAGUUCUUUGGCGACAAUUUGCCGUGUUGAGAACAGCCUUGAUGGUCCUUUUCCGUAUCUUUGGGUUGGACAAGCUCGGCCGAAUCAUUAAUCAUCUCUUGCGCUGUGUGGUUGUGCGUGUGUGUGUGUGUGCGUUGCUGCUAAGGGUAAGACGAUCACUCCAGUUAUAACCCUGUCAGGGUUACUGGAGCCUUGUCAGAAAGGCUCAAUGUUUACUUGGUUUCCCUCUUCCCUUUUCCCUCUUCCCUCCUGUUCUGCAGGCUGUGAAUGGACAUCUCACAUCUCUAUUUGUGACGUUUAUCAAAACACAUGUGAAAGAAUUGUACAAAUACAAUCCGAACGUCGAUUUAGAGUCCUGCAAUCAUGAUGGAGGGUGUCCAUGUUUGGUCACCCUUCAAAACAAUCAAGUGUUAUGCUGGGAGGGAGACCAGAUCAUGCAGGUGUCGUCGACGUCGUCCCCCUCACUGCUCACAAAUGUUGUAAAGGCUUUGGCAGCUUCAAACCUAAUCAUGUCAGUCCCCCACCUCACCAUCGCACGAAUACACACACCAUUACACAUGCAUGGUGGGGGGUCCCUGCACACUUUGGAAACACACCAGGAAUGGGAAAUCUGAAAACCUUCAUUCAGUUCGCCCCCUUGACAACGUCUUGAGUGGAUGUACGAGAAAGAACUCUUCUGAGUAGAGGCAAAAACAGUGUCACCACAAGGCCAUUCCGUACCCCUAUUUGUUGCAAUAAGGGGGUUCUAAAUUGGAAAAAGGUAUCUGCGGAUCUGGUUGUUGGUCUUGGACACAGACAUUUCAUUGGGUGCUUUGUGAACAAGCAGUUAACCCGAGAAUAAAGUGACUUUGAAGCGAGUUUGCGUGAAUAUUUGAGUUGACCGUCUCUUAUUAGAGACCAGUGCCAAGCAGUGUUGCCAGAUUGGGCCCGAUUUUCCGACCAAUCUGGCAAGCAGUUUUAUUAGUUUCUCCCAAAGGGAUGAUGAUUUCCUAUACUUUCUCUGUUUUCCCCUUUUUUGUUGACGAUAAGCACUUUCAGUCUUUCCCCUGCCCUGUCUAGAGUUUUGAAGCUGUACAUAGCGUUUUCCUGCAACAAUUGCUACUUGUUAUGUCUGAAUCUUUUGAUUUUUGUUGAAUUACUUGGAGCAUAACAUUGUUGUAGUUUGAAGAACAACAAUAAAAUAGACAUUACCCGG